UACGGAAGGGGCUAGCGUUGUUCGGAAUUACUGGGCGUAAAGAGCGCGUAGGCGGCUUACCAAGUUGGGGGUGAAAUCCCGGAGCUCAAAUCCGGAACUGCCUUCAAAACUGGUAGGCUCGAGUCCGGAAGAGGGGCGUGGAAUUCACAGUGUAGAGGUGAAAUUCGUAGAUAUUGGGAUGAACACCGGUGGCGAAGGCGGCGCCCUGGUCCGGUACUGAAGCUGAGUCGCGAAAGCGUGGGGAGCAAACAGC
rnacentral:rRNA from 1 species